rnacentral:rRNA from 1 species
AUUAACGCUAGCGGCAGGCAUAAUACAUGCAAGUUGAACGGCAGCACAGGUAGCAAUACUGGGUGGCGAGUGGCGCACGGGUGCGUAACACGUAUGCAACCUACCCUAUACAGGCGAAUAACCUUUAGAAAUGAGGGCUAAUACGCCGUAGUAUUACAGAUGGGCAUCUAUUUGUAAUUAAAGAUUUAUCGGUAUAGGAUGGGCAUGCGUCCCAUUAGUUAGUUGGUAAGGUAACGGCUUACCAAGACGAUGAUGGGUA